GACGUAGGGCGCGAGCGUUGUCCGGAUUUAUUGGGCGUAAAGAGCUCGUAGGCGGCUUGUUGCGUCGACUGUGAAAACCCGCGGCUUAACUGCGGGCUUGCAGUUGAUACGGGCAGACUAGAGUUCGGUAGGGGAGACUGGAAUUCCUGGUGUAGCGGUGAAAUGCGCAGAUAUCAGGAGGAACACCGGUGGCGAAGGCGGGUCUCUGGGCCGAUACUGACGCUGAGGAGCGAAAGCGUGGGGAGCAAACAGG
rnacentral:rRNA from 1 species